rnacentral:rRNA from 1 species
GUGCCUGGAGUAGUAAAUAGAUAUAGGCUCGAAACUUAAAGAAUUUGGCGGUAUUUAAGUCUAGUUAGAGGAACCUGUGCUGUAAACGAUAAACCACGAAUAUCUUACUUUGUCUAGGUGAGGCAGUACGUAUACCGCCAUUGCUGUCGAUAAUUUUUGAAGGGGUUUGUUGAGAUAGAUUUCGGAUCUAGUAUAUUAGGUCAAGGUGCGGCUAAUGAUAAAGUAGACAUGGGUUACAUUAAUAUUAGUGAGUGCGGAUGGACCUGGUAAGUUGGGUCUUGUAAGGUGGAUUUAAUAGU